CCACUCUCAGGAUCACACCUGGAGAGUUUCCAGUACUUUACCGGUCUUGGGCUAUGGGAGGGAGAAUUAAGCAGAGGCCUGCCCAUUCCAUUCCUAGCUUGGCCAGUGGCUAGGGAGUGGAAGGCCAUCUGCUACAAGU